AGUGUUGUAGAUUAAUUCCAUCAUAAAAGUAAUAUUAGUUAUAUUGCUUAAUAAGUUUGUUAGUGUUUUUUAACCGAGUAUUUCCCUUCCACUAUGGGUAGUCUAGAUAAAGCAGUACUAACAGGAUUUAUUUGCCGUUUAUGUUCUGAAAUGCAUCGCGUAGUUCUUCAUAUUUAUGGCGAAGAAGGUAUACGUUUGUGCAUAUCGGAGAAAAUCAAUAGGCAUCUAUCAAUAAACGUAUCUCAAUCAGAUCCUCUGCCUAAAACUAUUUGCAAAAGUUGUUUAGAGAAACUGGAAAGCCAACAUAGGCUUGUGAUGCGUAUUGAACAAGCAGCAAAAAUGGUACGCCAAUAUCCGGCCAGACUUGGCCAACGGCGUGGGUGUCUACUGAGCCAUUGUGACAAUAGCUCAAAUGGCCCUCCACAUCCUCCUGUACCAAAAUAAUGUCACAACAAUCUCAAUUUUUAGUAUUCCUACAACAUAGACCAUUAUCCUGUAUUAUCUAAAGCUUGCAUUAGUUAUUGUCAAUAAUAUAUAUUGAUCAUAUAUCUGUGGCUAUGUGUUUUACAGCCCAUAAAAUAUUUUUUGUUGUAAUUCAAGAUAAUUUAUUUUAUGUAUUAUUACUUAUUAGUAUUUAAAUUAAAGUUUUGUACACUUGCUGAAGGAAGGUAGAGUUAGACCAUGAUAACUCUGCAGUGAUUUUUUUAGCAGAGAUGCAAGUGUUAUUUUAAACAUCAAACUUCCAUGAAAUUAUGAAGUUUAAAUAACAAUAACAAUCGCUGCAUAGUUAUUUUGGUCUGACUCUACCUAUACAGUACAGUUAUAGUAUAGUACAUCAUAAUUCAUUAAAUUAAUAUAAUAAAAUUUUAUCUGCAAAUUUGAUGAAUUGAAAUGAUCAAUUUGAUGUAAAUACACAGCAUAAAAACAUAUUAGAUAUAUUAAGUAAUGUGUCAUGAGAUAGGAUGAGUAUGAAUAUUUAAAUGUUAGACCAUUUGCAAAAUGAUGAAACCUAUGAAAUAUAUGAUACAGAUGUAUACAGAUUAAGAUUUGUUUAUUUCAUUAUAACAAAUAAAUAAUUCAUCUGUAUGAAUUUAUAAGAUUUAAGUUUUAU